rnacentral:lncRNA from 1 species
CAUUUUGCACUCCGAGAUGCAGAUUUGUGGGUCCCUUUCUUCCCUGCCCAAGGAGCCAGAAAGUUAUACGAACCAUUUUGCAUCCAGUCUGUGAAAAGUGAAACUUCAGGCUUCAGUCCAGAGCAUUGACACUGGAAGCAAAAGAGACUUUGCACAGUCACAUCUGACCAUCCAGAAGCAGCUGAGUCAGUCCGCUAGAGUAUUCAUGCUCCUGCCAAGACAGCUGCAGGCAGAUGCAUCUCAGGUUGAACGCACCGCUUCCAGGAGUCAGCUCUUUCCUGAGCGAAAGGAUCGCUAAUUCCUCCCAUGCCAGGAGAGGCCAGUGAGGAGAGGGGGAUGCUCCACCUGAACAGCCUGCAGAAAGGGACCAACAGCAGCUCCCGCUCACUGACCUUCUCCUCUCGCUUGACCAGGCAGUGCUGUGCCCAGGAAAGAGCAAAAGACGGACUACAAAGCAGUGAAGGAGCCACCGUGUCAGUCCAGUCAUUGACUGCCAAACCCUCCUUCCGUCUCGAAGGUUUAACCGCUUGUAGUGGAAAAGCAUGGCCUGAAGGGAUCAAAAUAAGCUACAGCAGUUUUUUAUCACUACUUAUGCAGCCAGGCCAGAGGAGAACUGAGCAGCAGGCUCUACUUGCUGGCAAACCAAGGGCAACCAUGACAACUGCAGGAACUUGGUAG